CCUACGGGUGGCAGCAGUGGGGAAUAUUGGUCAAUGGGCGCAAGCCUGACCCAGCAACGCCGCGUGAAGGAAGAAGGCUUUCGGGUUGUAAACUUCUUUUCUCAGGGACGAAGCAAGUGACGGUACCUGAGGAAUAAGCCACGGCUAACUACGUGCCAGCAGCCGCGGUAAUACGUAGGUGGCAAGCGUUAUCCGGAUUUACUGGGUGUAAAGGGCGUGUAGGCGGGGAGGCAAGUCAGAUGGGAAAACCACGGGCUCAACCUGUGGCCUGCAUUUGAAACUGUGUUUCUUGAGUGCUGGAGAGGCAAGCGGAAUUCCGGGUGUAGCGGUGAAAUGCGUAGAUAUACGGAGGAACACCAGUGGCGAAGGCGGAUUGCUGGACAGUAACUGACGCUGAGGCGCGAAAGCGUGGGGAGCAAACAGGAUUAGAUACCCGGGUAGUC
rnacentral:rRNA from 1 species